GUGAUUGAGGAGGAUCCAGAGGUGCUGGAGGAGGAGGAGGAGGAGGAGGAGGUGGCCCCUGCAGAGGAGGCAUGUUGUUUUUGUUAUCAUACAUUACAUCAUAAUUGCUUAUUGGUUUCUUAUACACUGCUACGCCUGCAAAGUGAAAUGUCUUUAUCUUGGUGUUUGGUAUGAUGAAGGGAGAAUCAUCUCUUAACCUCCCUGCAGAAAACAAAAGAUUAGCACAGCCUAAGAUUAAUGAGUGUAUGCUCCAGUUCCAAUGCCUACCUGUGCCACCUAUUAGAAAGGAAUGCAGCAGGAAUUUAGUCAUGCAAAGUCAAACAUGUUUUAAAGGUGCCCCCCCUGCUGGUAAAGCAAGUAUGUAGCACUUAAAAUGAUUUUCACUUAUUUGAAGAUUCUUGCUGUUCCGAGUUGUAUCCUCAUGAUUGUUUGCAUGUAUAAGUCGCUUUGGACAAAAGCCUCAGCUAAAUGUAAUCUAAACAGUGAUACACCUACAAUUUGUUUCUUUUUUUUUUAUAGCUGCUUUUUGUGCAUUACUCAGGAUUUCCAUCCUACUUGACACGCAGUUAAAAUGAAAAAGCACUGUCUUGGGACAACUGCUGGUAUAAAUAUUCAUUUCAGACAUUUUUGACUGUUGGACCUCCAUGAUUACAAAAAAUGCAGUAAAUUAGAAAUUAAUCAAUUGUAAGUUUAAUAUAUAGAUAUACAAGCAGUAUGCAUGAAGAUAGAAGAGGUUUCCCUCAUGCAGGUAUGAUUUAUUUAUUUUUUGUGACCACUACUAAAUUAUUAGAUAAUUAAUACAAAAGAACAUCCUUAUUGCACACGCCCCCCAAAAAAAUACAAAACAUAAUCAAACCUUUGACAAUGUUGCUUGAUUUAGGCUGAUCCAGUUGAAGAGAUUAUGGCAGACCAGCCUGAGGAGGAGGCGGCAGCAGCUGAAGAGGAAACUGCAACAGAGCAAGCUGUGGAGGAGGAGGAGGAGGAGGAGGAGGCUGCUGAAGAGGCUGUGGAGGAACUUGUAGCAGAGGUGGAGGCAGCAUUCCAGGACACAGAGGAGGAGGAGGAGGAGGCUGCUGAAGAGGUGGCUUCAGAUGUUGAGAUGAUAGAGGAAGACAUUGCUCCUGCAGAAGAAGCUUUUGAGGAGCCUGCUGAUGAGGAGGCAGCAGAAGCUGAUGAGGAGGCAGCGCCUUCAGAAGACGCUUUUGAAGAAGAGGCUGCUCCUUCAGAAGAGGCUGCUUUUGAAGAAGAGGCUGCUUUUGAAGAAGAGGCUGCUUUUGAAGAAAAGGCAGCUCCUUCAGAAGAAGCUGAGGAGAAGGCAGACGACACGGAGGAGACUCCAGAAGAAGUAGAGGAGGAACAAAGAGAACCAGUCACAGAGACGGAAGUAGCUGAUGAAGUAGAGGAGACGGCAGAAGAAGUUGCUGAGUUGGUUGAGACUGAGGAACAGAUUCAGGAUGAGCCCACAGAAACGUAGAGGCUGCCGCAGUUGUCGUGGUGACGGAGCAGGGACCCACUGACCUUGCAUUAGCACCAUCUGAGCGUGCUCAGAGCGAUGAUGCACCUCUCCACCUCCAGAGAAACAAUUGAGUCAUUGUGACAACACUCUCCCCCUCCCUCUGUUUUCACACCUUCCAUUAAAGCUUCCUUUUGUGUGUUAAUGUGAGAUAAUGGAUGGAUUGUAUACUAAUAUGAUACUCCCCUUUUUACCCUUUUUCCUUUUGAAUCACAAUUAUUUCUUUCUUUAAGUAGAACAUCCAUUCCCAUUUUUGUUCUGGGUGAUUUAGUGUGACUGUGGCCAGAAGGUCAGGCAUUGUGAACUCUGUGCUCUACCUGCAGCCAGUAUACCGGAGUCUGAUCUGCAAGAGCUGGAACAUUAAACCGGGCUGGAGCUUUGUUUUGAAGUCCUCUCAGUGAUGUAGUUUGGCUUCCUGGAGCUGAAUUAUGUUGCUAAGUAAACUGAGGUUCAUAGCUGAGCCAGUAUUUGGCAGUUCGAAGUCAGUCUCGGCGUUAGAAGAUCCAGGUUUAUACAGUGAGGUGACUUUGUAGGUUUAGAAGCUUCUCAGAUUGAAAAUGUAAACAAAACUCUUGCUCUGAACACUGCAAAAUGUUUCCCUCCUGCUGAUAAAAAAUCUCCUUGAUGGUGGUAACGAAACAUAUUUCAAAUUUAGUAAUGAAACUAAUACUGUAACGAUCUGCACCUCGAUCGCAGGGUAAGUUCAGAAUUUAAAUAACAUUCCAUUCAGCUGUGUUUAGUUCUGGUCACAGUGUUGUAGAUUCUAUGCAAAGCUGUUGUGAUGUCUGUCACCCACUCCCUCACCCCUCCUUUCCCAGCCAGUUUAUUUACCACUCGGUGUGUGUCGACUCCAGAAUGAGCCGUGUGCUAGCAUGUGAAUUCAGAGAAAUCUUGUGUGCAUUUGUGUGUGAGAGCAUGUUUGCGGAUGUAUUCCUUAUGUAUCCCAUAAUGUUCUUGUGUUGACGAGUCUCUUUUACUAAUCGGACCUUUCUGUGAGCCGUUAAUGUCAUGAAGUAGUUUUUGAGACCGUUCAACUUUUUUUUUCUUGUUUGUUCUUUGUGUCUGUGUUCUGUAGAAUCCUAGUUCUUUUAUCUUCAUAUUUUCAGAUGAGAGUAUAAAGACCAUCUAUCUAGACUAUCGAAUAAUUUCUAGUAUGAAGUUGUAACUUUAAACUUCAGCUCAUUAAGUUUAAACUGUGAUGUAAAUUAGGACAUCAUGGAUGGUGCAAAGCUGUCACACUGUGGUGUAAAGACUUUUUUUGUUUUUUAAUAAAUAAAUACACCAGCAUGAUGAACAUGGUUCUGGCCUAGCAGACUGAUAGACAGGAUAGUGACACUACAAUAUUUUAACCUUGUGUGAUCAAGAUUCCACUUUGAGUAUAAGAGAGCGCUCACAUAGGGUUAAAUGGAUCAGACGUCAUAUUUCCGUGGAAGUCGGCCAUAACUAGCUGACACCAGUUAAAUGAACCAAGAUCUUUGUUUUCAUCAUAAGUAGCGUGUGUUUUAAUUACUUAAAGGGAAACUUGAUGACGCGUUUCUUUAGUCACUGUUCCCUUUUGUGAUGUCAGAAUUUGUGUUUUUUAAACAUUGAUCCAUGGUAGCAGGGCCCCUGGCAUCUGCAGGCCCAGAAGAUCAGAGAGCAAAACAUUCUCUUAAACUUGAUUCCAUCGCAGAACUAAGUGCAAUUUGGAAAACUAAAUUGAGAGCGUUAUGCAUCUUAUUUUGAAGGCGAAGGCAUAACACUAAGAUAGUUUUUGGGACAAUGGGUGCAGCACUGUGGAACACAUUUCUGUUGUGAUAUUGACAAUAAACAAUAUGUAGAUCUGAAGUUUUAGGAUCAAUUACAACACUGUUAGUGGAAGAAGAUAUUGUAAAACAUACCUUUUUUUUUCCUCUUUAAUUUGGUGUCACUGUCCCACUUGUUUCCAGUCCUGACUUAAUGUAACCACCAGAUUGUUUCUAUGGUGUGCAGUAGUUGUUUUUGUAGGAUGUCUUGUCCACUAGCUGGUUUUUUUCUACUUCCUGACACUUUGUAAGUCGAUGUGAACUGUAAAAGCUUUUUAACAUUGAAGAUUACAAUCUUUACCAAGAGAGAGCUUCUAGAUUUUUAAAAGGAACAUUUUUAAAAAGGACAAAACAUUUUCUGAAAAUGCUUUAAAAGCUUUUUACAAAGCCAUAAGCUAUUCGUGACAGGCAGGUUUAAGGGGCCGUGCUACUUCGAUACAAUAAAACCGCAAAGCAACCACACUACAGCAACCUGCUGAAACAGAUUUCUAUCUUUUUCAUCAUUGAUCUCUGAUCAGAAGUCCUGAACAUGCUGGAAAGGGUUGUGAUGACAUGGACAGCUUAGUCCCAGACAAAGGAGGUGGCAGUUGUCUGCUGGAAUCGCUAUAAUAGCUGUGCAGUAGUACUAAGCUCCCCAGUAUUAAAACUGCCUAUGUGUUGUCUGCAGAUCUAAUACUGUCCUGUAGACGCUGACGAUGGUGAUUAAAUUAUUGUGAAGUAAUGAUGGAUUGUGGAGAUUUGAAGUGUCAGUUUUCUGUAAAUGAUCUGUUGCUGCAAUAAAAGGUUUGGGACAACAUGGCAAGGACUCCAUUGUUUUUGAUUUAUACAUUUUGUGUAUGACUCCCAUACCAGUCAAGCAUGUAAUACCCUGUGUGACAAAGG
rnacentral:lncRNA from 1 species